rnacentral:tmRNA from 1 species
GGGGCUGAUUCUGGAUUCGACGGGAUUUGCGAAACCCAAGGUGCAUGCCGAGGGGCGGUUGGCCUCGUAAAAAGCCGCAAAAAAUAGUCGCAAACGACGAAAACUACGCUUUAGCAGCUUAAUAACCUGCUUAGAGCCCUCUCUCCCUAGCCUCCGCUCUUAGGACGGGGAUCAAGAGAGGUCAAACCCAAAAGAGAUCGCGUGGAAGCCCUGCCUGGGGUUGAAGCGUUAAAACUUAAUCAGGUUAGUUUGUUAGUGGCGUGUCCGUCCGCAGCUGGCAAGCGAAUGUAAAGACUGACUAAGCAUGUAGUACCGAGGAUGUAGGAAUUUCGGACGCGGGUUCAACUCCCGCCAGCUCCACCA